GUAGAGGAGGGAUUUCCUUCCAGAGUUCUGCCAGGGUGGAGAGGCCAAGUUCUGUUUGCUUAUCUGAAUGCCAAUCAGCGCUCUGGCGGAAAUAAAUAUUUAUACUGGCUGCUGCUGAGCUGUGGAAUAGGGCUUGUGUUGGCUCCUAGGGCUGAAGUCUAAGGUAGACAGAGUGCAUGAGUUCUUCUUAGCUUUAGUAGUGUUAUGUUGUGCUCAUACAUCUUGUUGUAAUUAAUGGAUGAAGGACUAGUUGUGGAUCUCUGCAAACAAGGGGUGAAGGUUGAACCAAUGCUGGAUAGGGGGCUGAGGCUCAGAGAGUGAAACUAAGCAACAGUUUUGUUUGGGCUUUGGUGUUGCUGACUUUUGCAAUUUUAUUGUGAUAUUUGCUAUGGUUUUUUUUUUUUUUUUUUGAAGGUCCUAGCUCCUGGAGUCAAGCGACUGAGAAUUUUUUUUUUUAAUGAAAGCUAGGUUUCUAGUCCCUACUGUUGUGGAAAAAAGCUUGAAAAAUAUGAACCCUAAAGACUCAAAACCCAUAAGGUAAAUAAAAAGAAUCCAACGUUUGUUUUUUUAAUUUAAUGAUUUUAGGGGGUCCUUGACUCAUUAUUUUUGGACUUUUGGGUUUGGCAAUACCAGGGCAUAUGUUCAUUGGAAUUUACAGUGGAAGGAGAGGACUGUUUGGCUGGAAGGCUAAACUAACCAACUGGUGAGCUGGAAAUGGAUUCUACGGCCACACCUAAUGCGGGAAAGGUCACUUCCAUUCAUUAUUACACAAGAGAAGGAUUUUAAAAUGCAAAGCAAGAAACUGGAGACUGCUGUAGAAUGUGCCUCUCAUAAGUGAUCAGUCACGAUCAGAAGAAGAAAACAAGCUUUCCUGCUUUUUCAACUCCGAAAUGGUUCCUUAACUUUGAAUGAACUAGUCAUUCAACUGAACUAGUUGAAUAAACUGAAGAGGAAAUAUUCUUUCUGCACCCACAGAAAAAGCUACUGCUAUUGAAAGCUAUUUUAGCACUUCAGCAAACUCUGGUCCUGGUCCUUAGCCAGUGACUUCCACUAGUUCAGUGGUUUCAGUUUGGCAGCAAAGAGUAGUGCUUAAUAUUAUUUCUUAUAUUUCAUUUGAAUUAUUUUAAUAGCUGAUAAUAAAUGUAAGCCUGAAUG